GUCUGAAUCCUCCCUGCAGAGCUGUGCUGGAAGCUUCACCUGGUUGGGACCAAGUAUGGGCCUGGUAGAACCACUGUCCUUACUGGUACUUUUGUCAAGCUCAUGGUAACUGUGAUGUUUUGACACCAGCCAUAGCAGAAGGCAGACAAAGGCACACUCACAGGUGUGGCUGGGAUACCUGUGGGAUACCUGAAAACAAAGGAACGUCGGGAACCGAUGAGGAUCCAGAGCAGUCUGCAGGGCACAUAUCUAUUUGUCCAGAGAGGCACCCCAACCAUGGCCAGUGCUGAAGUCUCUGGACAGCUCGUCUCUUGAUGUGUCAGUGUCCAUGAAGUCCCUUCCCUAUUGCACAGUCCAGACUAAAAGUAAAUUGCUAAUCCUCUUUCACACAGACUUUCCUGAGGGUGCAGUAAAACAAUCGAGGGACAAGAAAAUGUCAUUUAGUCUUUCCAGUGGAAAACUUAAGAAUUUUCCUCUAAAGGAAAUCUAUAAAAUAGAACAUAUCACAUUACAAACUGGUGUCAACCUCUCUUUUAGAUAAAGCACCAUAAUCUAGGAGCUAAUUUGACCCCAGCUAGGGACCUGAUGCGACAU